AUUGAACGCUGGCGGCAUGCCUUACACAUGCAAGUCGAACGGUAACAGGUUAAGCUGACGAGUGUCGAACGGGUGAGUAAUGUAUCGGAACGUGCCCAGUCGUGGUGGAUAACUUCUCGAAAGAGCAGCUAAUACCGCAUACGACCUGAGGGUGAAAGCGGGGGGUCGCAAGACCUCGCGCGAUUGGAGCGGCCGAUAUCAGAUUAGGUAGUUGGUGAGGUAAAGGCUCACCAAGCCGACGAUCUGUAGCUGGUCUGAGAGGACGACCAGCCACACUGGGACUGAGACACGGCCCAGACUCCUACGGGAGGCAGCAGUGGGGAAUUUUGGACAAUGGGCGCAAGCCUGAUCCAGCCAUGCCGCGUGCGGGAAGAAGGCCUUCGGGUUGUAAACCGCUUUUGUCAGGGAAGAAAAGGUUCUGGCUAAUACCUGGGACUCAUGACGGUACCUGAAGAAUAAGCACCGGCUAACUACGUG
rnacentral:rRNA from 1 species